UCUCAGAACAGAGAGCAAGCAUUCUGAUUAGACUCCCAGAAUCAUUUUCUUCAGAUAAUUUAAUCAAUGAUGGGAAGGCUACAGACAGCACGGGACCCUUCUCACUGAAGGCUGAUGGAACUUCUGCUACUGUUCGGCUUCUGAGUUGCGAUACAAUCCAAGUUAUGAGUCACUUGUGUAGUACCAUCUAGAUAAGCAUAAGCAACUCUGAUUAAUCAUCACCACCCUGAAUUAGAAAGAACAUCUCCUGGUUUGGACUGACACACUGGGUUGCAGGCAUAGGACACCAGCAGAAGUAGCUGAAAGAUUCAUCUCCUAGUGUACCGCUGAGCAGGAAGGCUGGCUUAUGAAAAAAAGAUGGAUUAUUUCAUAAGCUAUGAUGUAACAAAUGGUUGGCCAUCUGCAGAAAGAAGGAAGAA